rnacentral:rRNA from 1 species
UGGGGAAUAUUGCACAAUGGGCGAAAGCCUGAUGCAGCAACGCCGCGUGAGUGAUGAAGGCCUUCGGGUUGUAAAGCUCUGUCUUUUGGGACGAUAAUGACGGUACCAAAGGAGGAAGCCACGGCUAACUACGUGCCAGCAGCCGCGGUAAUACGUAGGUGGCAAGCGUUGUCCGGAUUUACUGGGCGUAAAGGAUGCGUAGGCGGAUUUUUAAGUGAGAUGUGAAAACCCUAAGCUUAACUUGGGGACUGCAUUUCAUACUGGAAAUCUAGAGUGCGGGAGAGGAGAAUGGAAUUCCUAGUGUAGCGGUGAAAUGCGUAGAGAUUAGGAAGAACACCAGUGGCGAAGGCGAUUCUCUGGACCGUAACUGACGCUGAGGCAUGAAAAGCGUGGGUAGCAAAACAGGAUUAGAUACCCUGGUAGUCCACGCCGUAAAACGAUGAGUACUAGGUGUAGGAGGUAUCGACCCCUUCUGUGCCGCAGUU